GCUGAGUGAUGCAGGGUGGAGCCUUGGUUGGAAUCCUGGGGAGUUUUCUGUGGAGAAGACCUGGGUUCGAUUCCUGACUCAGAUCCUGUCAACAUUUCCACCGGCUCUGGAGAGAAACAGUCAGCUAUCCAGCACUUCACCCUCCGAUGGCGAGAGAGAAACAAGCCCCUCAGAAGAAGCAUUGACAAGGCAACCUCCUGCCUCUCCCACCAGCCCUCUAACACACACCUCAGUGGGAAAGUUUGCCUUAGAAAGUGUGGGGCAAUAACUGGCAGGACAAAAGGCCACUAUUUGAGCCAAUAAGACAUAUUCUACAACUGAAAUAAACCUCUCUCCUAGAGCCAUGUCUUCACCAAGAGGACAACGUGGUCUUUGUUUGCAAAUUGUCACCUAUUUU